rnacentral:rRNA from 1 species
GACGAACGCUGGCGGCGUGCUUAACACAUGCAAGUCGAACGAUGAAGCCGGAGCUUGCUCUGGUGAAUUAGUGGCGAACGGGUGAGUAACACGUGAGUAACCUGCCCUUGACUCUGGGAUAACUGCGGGAAACUGUAGCUAAUACCGGAUACGACCCUCGGAGGCAUCUCCUGGGGGUGGAAAGAAUUUCGGUCAAGGAUGGACUCGCGGCCUAUCAGCUAGUUGGUGAGGUAAAGGCUCACCAAGGCGACGACGGGUAGCCGGCCUGAGAGGGUGGCCGGCCACACUGGGACUGAGACACGGCCCAGACUCGCACGUGAGGCAGUAGGGGGGAAUAUUGCACAAUGGGCGCAAGCCUGAUGCAGCAACGCCGCGUGAGGGAUGACGGGCUUCGGGUUGUAAACCUCUUUUAGCAGGGAAGAAGCGAAAGUGACGGUACCUGCAGAAAAAGCACCGGCUAACUACGUGCCAGCAGCCGCCGUAA